AUGAGCUUUGAGGAACAAUAUGUGCAACCGAAUGGCAGUCGAAAGCCUGGUAUCAUCAAACCACCUACUUCGGAUCCAUCUUGCUUGGGAUCACCAUCUUGCUUCGGCCCUGAUAAUGAUUUCUGCCUUUAUCCUGGCAUGCCAUUGUGUGGAACCUUAUUUCAGAGACGAUUCUACUCUGGGUUUCAUAGCAAACUUCUGGAAAUUCAAAGAAAAGAUGGUGUAAAAAAACCUAUAUUGGAUGAUAAUCAAGUUGCUCACGUUCUGGACUACUUUGUUCCCUUCAUCAGCCUGAUUACUCAAUUUCUUGUCUCUUUUACCAGUCAGAUAAUCAAAUGGAGGAAUUGUGCCAACAUCAAGGUCAAUUAA
rnacentral:rRNA from 1 species